UCCUUCGUUCAUCUGCCUGCUUUGCUGCCU
rnacentral:piRNA from 1 species